rnacentral:rRNA from 1 species
CAGCAGCCGCGGUAAUGCGUAGGGUGCAAGCGUUAAUCGGAAUUACUGGGCGUAAAGCGUGCGCAGGCGGUUUGUUAAGACAGAUGUGAAAUCCCCGGGCUCAACCUGGGAACUGCAUUUGUGACUGGCAAGCUAGAGUGUGGCAGAGGGGGGUGGAAUUCCGCGUGUAGCAGUGAAAUGCGUAGAUAUGCGGAGGAACACCGAUGGCGAAGGCAGCCCCCUGGGCCAAUACUGACGCUCAUGCACGAAAACGUGGGGAGCAAACAGGAUUAGAUACCCCAGUAGUCCCUGUCUCUUAUAC